rnacentral:rRNA from 1 species
UACGUAGGGGGCUAGCGUUGUCCGGAAUCAUUGGGCGUAAAGAGCGUGUAGGCGGUCCGGUAAGUCCGCUGUGAAAGUCGGGGGCUCAACCCUCGAAUGCCGGUGGAUACUGUCGGGCUAGAGUACGGAAGGGGCAACUGGGAAUUCUCGGUGUAGCGGUGAAAUGCGUAGAUAUCGAGAGGAACACCUGCGGCGAAGGCGGGUUGCUGGGCUGAUACUGACGCUGAGGCGCGAAAGCCAGGGGAGCGAACGGG